AGUGAACGCUGGCGGUAGGCCUAACACAUGCAAGUCGAACGGCAGCACAGUAAGAGCUUGCUCUUACGGGUGGCGAGUGGCGGACGGGUGAGGAAUACAUCGGAAUCUACUUUUUCGUGGGGGAUAACGUAGGGAAACUUACGCUAAUACCGCAUACGACCUACGGGUGAAAGCAGGGGAUCUUCGGACCUUGCGCGAUUGAAUGAGCCGAUGUCGGAUUAGCUAGUUGGCGGGGUAAAGGCCCACCAAGGCGACGAUCCGUAGCUGGUCUGCGAGCAUGCACACCCACGCUGGAAUCAAGACACGGUCCCGAGUCCUACGGGAUGCCCAAGCCGGGAACAUUCCACCCUGCGCGCAAGCCUGACCCAGCCCUCCCGCGUCGGUGAAGAAGGCCCUCGGGUUGUAGAGCCCUUUUCUUCUCAACGAAAACCGGCAUCUUACUCCCCCGCUGUUCCGCCGGUACCCAAAGAAUACGCACCGGCCACCCUCGUG
rnacentral:rRNA from 1 species